GAAAUAGUCUUAUCUUUAUCCCAUGGUUAUGCAUAUAUUGCUCAGUUUCAGAUGAGCAUCUCAAAGGACUAACUGGCUCUGAAAAGCAAGGCUUUACUGCUAUGCCAACAUUUAACAAGGAAUUACUUCAGACAUCUCAUCAAGCUUUUACUUAGACAACAGAAAACUGCCAAGUUUACUAUUGCUGUGGAUUAGGGCCAAUAGCACCAUUCCCGCUUAGCUGUAGGAUAUAUUGGAAAGAAAUGACACGAGCUUCUUGUGGACCAAGCCUCAAGAUCUGGUGGAAAUGAUUGGUUCAGCAGAUGGAAGCUAUUAGUUUCACGCUCGGAAAUAACAUUGGAUUUGAACUGCAGCUGAGCAGGUGUGUCCUGC